AUUGAACGCUGGCGGCAGGCCUAACACAUGCAAGUCGAGCGGAGCGGCGGACGGGUGAGUAAUGCCUAGGAAUCUGCCUGGUAGCGGGGGAUAACGUCCGGAACUGGGCGCUGAUACCGCAUACUCUCAGAUGAGGCUAGGUCGGAUUAGCUAGGUGGUGGGGUAAAGGCCUACCAAGGCGACGAUCCGUAACUGGUCUGAGAGGAUGAGCAGUCACACUGGAACGGAGACACGGUCCAGACUCCUACGGGAGGCAGCAGUGGGGAAUAUUGGACAAUGGGCGAAAGCCUGAUCCAGCCAUGCCGCGUGUGUGAUGAAGGUCUUCGGAUUGUAAAGCACUUUAAGUUGGGAGGCGUUACCAACAGAAUAAGCACCGGCUAACUUCGUGCCAGCAGCCGCGGUAAUUC
rnacentral:rRNA from 1 species